GACAACAUGGUGGCAAAGCUAUCCAUUUCAUGGUCGCCAAGAUUUCCAACUCACUGAGGAAAGGAGAGAUUUAUAGAUUGAUGGCUGUCAAUUGAGCCUCUUUUUACAGACUCGUGCUUGAGGAGGGGUGCUGACUUCGACGUAUGACAG